AUUCAUCUGGAGUUGUGCUGGAAAUGUUGUGACCAGGCCUGAGGUGAUGCUUGUACUGCAGGGCUGCAGACCAUCCUUGGAGUAGAUGGCUUUAUGCAACAUGAUGCAGUUUCUGAUCUUGGAACCUUAAAUCCUUAGUAGUGAUUGGGUUGCCCUUGUGGUCCUUGGUAUUGAAUAUUGUCUUUCUCUUAAGCAACUUAAGAGAACUCAAGGCCUUCACUCCUCCUUAAGCGCACAUAGGAACAUCACAGGAUGUGAUAUUUUUCUGUACCUCUUUCCACUGUGAGCUUCUCAAAGUCCAACUCUGUGUGUUUUUCAGCAUUUGCGUUUUUAUACCUGACCACUGGCUCCUAAUAGACACUCAGAAAAGCUCUGUGGAAUGGAUGGGUGGAGGCAGAAUACCAUAAAUCAUAAACAAUGAGGUUCUUCUUCUAAACAGUAGUAACUGGAAGAAUCCCAGACUUCUGAGCAGAAUCAGAGUUCAGUUAGCGCAGGGACCAAGUCAUGAGACCAGACCCCAGAAUCAGUACAUAUCAGAAGUUAACUUAUAUUUGCUGUCUCUAGGCCUGUGUGUUCCAUAGAGUCCUUUCCUUUCUCUGGCAGAGGCUGGCCCAUAGUCUUCUCUUCCACCUUACUGGCCCAUUGUCUGGUAUCUGUCAUUAUUGUCAUAGUGCUGUUGAUUGACAUUAAUCUGCUGUUGUACUAAUGACCCAUUUCAUGUUGGAUCUCCAGAGUUGUAGGCGUGACUGAUAUUGGUAUGCAUGGAGCUCUUUGCCGGAGAAAUCUAAAGGCAUGAAUAAGCCAAUGGGAGCUCUUAGCAUGGCUGAACGAUAUGGUUGGCCUCGACAAGUUGGAAGACAACUUGGGUGAAAAGAUGAAAGAUGGAUUUCAACGGAGAGCGUCUGGUUUUGUCAGAAAAAGAUGUCUUCCCUACUUGGCUGUGAGCUCAUUCGCAAUAUGGAUCAUAUUCUACCUUGGCAUCCUGGUAUGUAGCAGAGAAUCAGUAAGUGCCUGCCGGAUUGAUUUGAGUGCCAAUGUCACAAGUAUCUCAGAAGACUCACAAGCCUGAGUGUACAGGGUAAGGAAAAAAUUGAGAUUAGCUCUACUUUCCCAGCCUUCUGAUGCCAGAGGCAUGAAAGACCUCAAAUAUGAAAAGGUUUCUAAUUUGAGAUAUUCCAGUGGAGUCCAUUUUCCUCUUAAUUUAUUUUUGGCUGAUUUGGAAAAAGCUAAGUUACUUCUGAAAUUGAACGGAAGAUCAAGUGUGUUAUUCACUUACAGAAACAUCUUUCUCUUCCUAACUACCUGGGAACAUGUGCUAUCUUUGCUUCUCAUUGCAGGGGUGGCCUAGGGUCAGAGCCUUUCAUUUCCGAUGCUCUGUGUAUAGCCUCCAGCGGAUCAGAUUCUGCUUGCUAUUCCUGGCGAUGUUUUAUUCAUUAGAAUGUUGCCAAAUGGAAAUUACCUUUUGACUGCUAACAAGCUGUACUAACGUGAACCUUUAUAUAUAUAUUUUAUAUAUUUAUAUAUGUUAUAUAAUUAUAUAUUUAUAUAUACAAAUAAAUUAUAUAUUUUUAUAUAUGUGUAAAUAAAUUAUAUAUAUAUUUUAUAUAUUUAUAUAUACAUAUAUAAAUAAAGCUAGCCUAAAUCAAGGUGCAAGAAUAGAGCCAUCUAUUUGUCUACUCCUGUCUGUAAAACAGCGUUGGACAGAGCUCUUGCUUGGGGACACCUCCCUGUAAUCAGCACUUCCCUGAUCACCCCAUCACGCUCUGUUCCUUUACCCUGCUUGACUUGUCUUCAUGGCUCUUAUCACCACCUGACAGAUUUGUUAGGUUAUUGGCUAUGUUUUCUCCUAGAGUACAUGCACCAUGAGAACAGAAGUUAUGUAUUCAUUGCUGUAUCAAAGCCCCUAGAACCAUGCAUGGCACGGAGUAGGUGCUUGAUAAAUACAUGUCAAGUGAAUGGAGGAUGGGACUUCUCACCAGUACUCGUAAUGCCCUCAACAUGUGUCAAGCAUCGGGGUGAGCACUUGGUAUACGUUAUUUCCUGUCCUUCUCACACCAUCCAACCAGGAGGGUGUUGUGCCAUUUCCACUUACCCUGAAGCAAAUGAAACUUAGAGCUAGCAAGGUGCGCAAGGUUUCACAGCUUUUAAGUGGUGACGCUGAAUGUUGUCAGAGCCCAUGUGGUUAACCAGUAUGCUGUUUGUGAUGGGUGCGUCCAGGUUCUCUGUCCAGUCACUGGAGUUAAGUGGUGCUGUUUCUUGUGCAAUAUUCUGUCAUUUAGGGUCUUGGGAAUCCGCGUGUGUCAUUCUGUGUCAUUUGUCUAGUCUUUUCCCCCAUAAAGAUAAUAAUUGCUAAGAUUUAACAUUUUUAAGGAACUUAAAUUUUAGGGAUUUUAUCAAGUCCUGUAUCUGGAUGAUCUAAUUUGAUCUUCCACCUUACAGAAGAGGUAUUAUUAUUUCCCUUGCAUGGAUGGGGAGAGGAGAUUCAGAUAGGUUAAGUGACUUACCCAAAACCACAUUGCUGACAAAUGGCAAAAGUUGGGACUUGAAUGCAGCUUUCCUGUUUUCCAUGCCUAUUUGCUGACCUUGAACCCUGUACUCUUUAACCGGAAUUCCCUGUGUGAUAUCAUACAUGCAGCUAGAAGAACGUACUAGUGCAUCCCUAAACUGUAUAUUCAGAAACUGCACAAUGGGAGGAAAUAAUCUCAGGGAGCUUUGUCAUGGCUGAGUCACAUGUGGAGAAAUAGGUCCAUGUUCAGGAGAUAGAUUUUAAGGGAAGAUACCAAACCAGAGAACUUUGUAUGAAGAUGGGAAGGAUGAGGAGCUUAGAAGCCCUUUACUUGAAGAUUUUUUUGGGCAGGGCAAAGAUGUUUACCUUUUAGAAGGGAAAACAGAGGCCAGAGGCACAUGAUGGUACACAAGUAGGGUAGGAAGCAGAGUUGGACAGGAGAGGAGGGGCCACUUUGCUGUUUAUUAGGAGGAAGCAUAUCACGGUGGUUAUAAGCCUAUAUCCUGGGCUUAAAUGGUCUAGGUUUAUGUCCCACUUUAUCCUCGUACUAGGUGCUGUCCUUGGGCAACUUAUUUCACCUCUGUUUCUUUUGUCUUAUCUAUUGAAUGAGGACAGUCUUACUUCCCUCACCAUGUUGAGAUGAGAAUUGGGACAAUGUAUCGAAAGCCCUAGCACAGGGCCUAGCUCAGAGUAAAAUUCCAUUAAGUGUUGGCUGUCAUCAUUGUUGCUAGUCGUGGCUUCAAAGUGUAAAAGGAGAGCUACCUGUCAUGGACUGAGGCUCCUGGUGUGAGUGGUGCUAGGGGAAACUUUCACUUAUCUGUUUCACUGGCUUCAUUCUUCAAAGAGAUACCUGAGCCCUACAGAGGACAAAGUUCUGUCUUGAGGCUGUAUAGGGGGUUAUCUGCAGGACCAAGGCUGUUACUUCGCUCUUCUAACAAAUACUGUCUAAGAUUGUUUUAAACAACUUUGUAAGUGUUUAUUUUUGAGAGAGAGAGAGAGAGAGAGAGAGAGAGCGAGAGAGAGAGAGAGCACGAGCAAGUGGGGGAGGGAUAAAGAGAGUAGGAGACACAGAAUCUGAAGCAGGCUCCAGGCUCUGAGCUGUCAGCACAGAGCCCGAGGCAGGGCUGGAACCCUUGAAUGGUGAGAUCAUGACCUGAGCCAAAGUCGGACACUCACCCUACUGAGCCACCUAGGCACCUCAAGGUUUUUCGUUUGUUUGUUUGUUUGUUUUAAACAUGGCUGGUGGGUGUACUAAGCACCAGCUGUAGGACAGUAAUGCACUGCCAGCCUCAGGGAGUAGGCCCUUGGGUACACCUGGAUCACCAGUCCCUCGGCACCAUUGGAGACAGGUGAAGCAGAACGGUAUCAACUGCUCUAUGCUUGUCUUGCCAGUUCCACCACAAACUAUCAGAAUCUGAACCACUACUCGCCAGCUCUCCUGCCGCACCCCAGCUCUUGCCACCAUCAUCUGCAUGGUUACAGUAGUCUGCAGACUACUGUUCCCUGCAGCUAGUUUUUCUCCCAUCAGCUAUUCUCCAUGCAGCAGCCAGAGGGAUCUUGUGACCUAUAAAUUUAAUCAUGCUUCCCACUCUCACCCUGUUUAGCUUCUUCCACCUGGCUCAUGUUAUACUUGAAAUAGAAUCAAAAUUACUCAAUAUUGUCUUCCGGAUAUUAUAGGAUCUGCCCUUGACUUUUUCUCUGAUGUCCUCUCCUUUCACUCCCACUCACUCUCAACCUCCAGCCACACUAGCAUUUUUCCUAUUCUCAAAGGUACCAAGCUAGUUCCUACCACAGGACCUUUGCAUAUGUUCUUCCUCUAGAUAUUUGAAUGGAUGGCUUCUCUUUUUCCAUCAUAUUUCAGCCUAACUUCCCCUUCCUUAGUGAGGCUAUUCCUAUGGUGUCCCUGUCCUCCUCUCUCUCAUCCUGUUUUAUUGUCUUCAUGGUGCAGACCCAGUUUCUGAAAUUAUCCUUAUGUUUUUUUUUUUUUUUUCUAAGCAAAUUCUUUUACACUGGGGUCUUUUUACUUGUUUGCUGCUAUAUCAUCAUUCCCAAAAUGAUGUCUGAGUUUUGGUAGAUGUACUUUAAAUAUUUUUUAAUGAAUGAAUGAACCCCUUGUAAAUCGGGGCUUACUUCACCACAAGAGAGUUGUGUUUAUAAUAUGAACACAGAGGUCCGCAUCGGGGGAAGGAAGCUUGGGCCUGAACUCAGUUUUUAUGGAGAUUUAACUUCUCCAUUAAGGAGCAUAAAUGUAGGUUCUUUUAAGCUUGGGGCACAGGGAUCUGUUAUUAGGAGUCUAGGAGGGCAUUAUAGCUAAAUGUAGUGGGAAUCCAGACAUCAGCAGCUAGAGCUUGAGGUGAAGAAGGGGGAAAGUCAGAGAGGGGUCAAGGAGGCAGUUAAUUUAUCAUCUCUGCCAAUAUUUGAAAUACUAUAAUUAGCCUCUUGUUCUUCCUUUGCAGUUGUAUGUUCCUUCCCUUUUUCUCUUUCUGGUAUCAAAGUGGCAAAACAUAGGAUGGGGUUGGCCCCUGGAGCUUAAUCUUUGCCUAGUUAAUUUCUACGGUAGGGUUAUGACCUUUCAAAUGUCAUCAGGGGUCAGAGUAAAUAGCAGAA